rnacentral:antisense_RNA from 1 species
UGUACGCAUUAAGCGUGCGCUGGCAGAGCGCCGAGCGAACGCAAUCGUCUUUGCCGAAGCGAACAAUCCCCACCAUCUCGUCUUCGCUAAAGCGGGCCAGCGCAUCGCUUAACCCUGACUGAACGUGAGACGGUAAAUCACACUGGGUGAUAUCCCCGUUGACGAUAACCGUGACGUUCUCCCCGAGGCGAGUU